UAUAUUUUCCUUGCCAGAUUUUGCGGGUGAAGUGCAGGAGGCAUUAAAACCAGUGCUUAAUGCUUACAUCAAGGGAGAUGUUGAAACACUGAAGAAGUACUGCUGCUCUCAGCUGAUUGAACGCUGUAAAGCCGAACAUAAUGCUUACAAAAGCAUGGUAUCUUUUUUGAUAAGAAGAUCCUGCAUAUAUCUGAUUUAGAAAUAAGAGAAGCCAAGAUGUUGGAAUCAUCUCCCGUCAUUAUUGUAGCGUUUCAAACACAGCAAAUUUACUGUGUACGUGAUAGGAAUGGGGUAAUUACAGAAGGAGGCAAGG